GAUUGAGUGCGGGGCUCGCACAAAGAAUGCUGGCGCAGUUCGCAGCCAUCAUGCAUUGUUCGCCCGCCGGCUGAUGCCGGCUGGUAUAAAAUGAUUAAUUGCGAUUAGAAAGUUUCACUGUUUAAAGGUUGGAGGCUAGCGAGGUAGCCGAGGAUUGGUAAAAUAUUGAUCGAAUCCCUCGGAGCACGGGGUUCAACGGGAUUAUCUGAUGGCGCGCCACCCGGUAGUUAGUGUUGUUCACACAGUAAUCGUACUAAUUGAGAAACCUUUUGUUGUAACAACGUGGAUUGACGUGGUAGAUAAGUUUAAUAUCGUGUACUAAAGUCGAUCAGAUAUAUGUGUUUAUUCAAUUCAUAGAAGCGAAAUUCCGUCAAAAUGAUAAGUAUUUACAAAGCAAACAGACGAUGAAAAACCUUGAUAGCAGAGAACGAAUGUGACCGGAAAAUUGAGAU